AUUGAACGCUGGCGGUAGGCCUAACACAUGCAAGUCGAACGGCAGCACAGUAAUAGCUUGUUCUUACGGGUGGCGACGGGCGGGCGGGUGCUGAAUACAUCCGAAUCUAUUUUUUCUAGCGUGCUAACGUAGGGGCACAUACGCUAAUACCGCAUACGACCUACGGGUGAGAGCAUCGGAUCUUCGGACCUUGCGUGAUUGAAUGACGCGAGGUCGGAUUAGCUAGUUGGCGGGGUAAAGGCCCACCAAGGCGACGAUCCGUAGCUGGUCUGAGAGGAUGAUCAGCCACACUGGAACUGAGACACGGUCCAGACUCCUACGGGAGGCAGCAGUGGGGAAUAUUGGACAAUGGGCGCAAGCCUGAUCCAGCCAUGCCGCGUGGGUGAAGAAGGUCUUCGGGUUGUAAAGCCCUUUUGUUGGGAAAGAAAAGCAGUAGGUUAAUACCCCGCUGUUCUGACGGUACCCAAAGAAUAAGCACCGGCUAACUUCGUG
rnacentral:rRNA from 1 species